rnacentral:rRNA from 1 species
GACAGAGGAUGCAAGCGUUAUCCGGAAUGAUUGGGCGUAAAGCGUCUGUAGGUGGCUUUUUAAGUCCGCCGUCAAAUCCCAGGGCUCAACCCUGGACAGGCGGUGGAAACUACCAAGCUGGAGUACGGUAGGGGCAGAGGGAAUUCCCGGUGGAGCGGUGAAAUGCGUAGAGAUCGGGAAGAACGCCAAGGGCGAAGGCACUCUGCUAGGCCUGAUUUCGCGACUGACACUCAGGGACGAGAGCCAGGGGAGCGAAUGGGAUUAGAAACCC